GUAAAGUAAGGAUAGAUUUUGGGCCAUUGAACAAGGGAGGAAAUUGGUGCAUGAAAUUUGAGUGGGGGAUGAAAUGGUCUACUGAGAAGUAAGGGAUAAAUAAGGAGAUUUGAGUUGAUGGAGGAACUUGGGAAAAUUUGCCCAUACCAAAGAAAAACAAGGGAAAGAAAAACAAAGGCAAAUAACGUGAGUUUGCCUUGAGAAAAAAAAAACCGCAGCUUUGAGAGGUAAGAAGGAGAAUUGGCCUUGAGAGCAAAAGAGGGAAGAAAGGAGAAAGAAGAAAAAAGAAAGGAGAAAGAAGAAAAAGGCUUGAAGAAGGCUCGAUUUUGGAGAAGAAUGAAGAAAACCAAAAGGUUUUCUCUUGCAUGCCAUUAUUGAAGCUUGAAAGAGAAAGUGGAGGUUUGGCUUAGAGAUUUUAAGAAUCUUCAAGGAUUCAAGAACCAGAUGCAUGCAUGUAGGUGGAUCUUGGAAUGCAUGUUGAUUUUGAGCUAGAUAAGCAAAGGCAAUGGUGAUCGAGGAUGUGAGGAGUUUGUGACUUAUGUGAGGG